GGGCCCGCACAAGCGGUGGAGCAUGUGGUUCAAUUCGACGCAACGCGAAGAACCUUACCCGGGCUAGACAACAGAGGACAGCCUUAGAAAUAAGGUCUUCCCUUCGGGGACCUCUGGUUCAGGUGCUGCAUGGCUGUCGUCAGCUCGUGUCGUGAGAUGUUGGGUUAAGUCCCGCAACGAGCGCAACCCUUGCCUUUAGUUGCCAUCAUUAAGUUGGGCACUCUAAAGGGACUGCCCGUGUCAAACGGGAGGAAGGCGGGGAUGACGUCAAGUCCUCAUGGCCCUUAUGUCCGGGGCUACACACGUGCUACAAUGGGCGGUACAAAGGGCAGCAAACCCGCGAGGGGGAGCCAAUCCCAAAAAGCCGCUCUCAGUUCGGAUUGGAGUCUGCAACUCGACUCCAUGAAGGUGGAAUCGCUAGUAAUCGCGGAUCAGCACGCCGCGGUGAAUACGUUCCCGGGCCUU
rnacentral:rRNA from 1 species